UGGGGAAUAUUGGGCAAUGGGGGAAACCCUGACCCAGCAACGCCGCGUGAAGGAAGAAGGCCUUCGGGUUGUAAAGCUUCUUUUAGCAGGGACGAAGGACGUGACGGUACCUGCAGAAAAAGCAACGGCUAACUACGUGCCAGCAGCCGCGGUAAUACGUAGGUUGCGAGCGAUGUCCGGAAUUACUGGGUGUAAAGGGCGUGUAGGCGGAGCUGCAAGUCAGAUGUGAAAUGUCAUGGCUCAACCAUGGAACUGCAUUUGAAACUGUGGCCCUUGAGUAUCGGAGAGGCAAGCGGAAUUCCUAGUGUAGCGGUGAAAUGCGUAGAUAUUAGGAGGAACACCAGUGGCGAAGGCGGCUUGCUGGACGACAACUGACGCUGAGGCGCGAAAGCGUGGGGAGCAAACAGGAUUAGAUACCC
rnacentral:rRNA from 1 species